rnacentral:rRNA from 1 species
AGUGAACGCUGGCGGUAGGCCUAACACAUGCAAGUCGAACGGCAGCACAGUAAGAGCUUGCUCUUACGGGUGGCGAGUGGCGGACGGGUGAGGAAUACAUCGGAAUCUACUUUUUCGUGGGGGAUAACGUAGGGAAACUUACGCUAAUACCGCAUACGACCUACGGGUGAAAGCAGGGGAUCUUCAGACCUUGCGCGAUUGAAUGAGCCGAUGUCGGAUUAGCUAGUUGGCGGGGUAAAGGCCCACCAAGGCGACGAUCCGUAGCUGGUCUGAGAGGAUGAUCAGCCACACUGGAACUGAGACACGGUCCAGACUCCUACGGGAGGCAGCAGUAGGGAAUCUUGGACAAUGGGCGAAAGCCUGAUGCAGCAACACCGCGUGAGUGAAGAAGGCCUUCGGGUUGUAAAGCCCUUUUGUUGGGAAAGAAAAGCAGCAGGUUAAUACACCGAUGUUCUGACGGUACCCAAAGAAUAAGCACCGGCUAACUUCGUG